CAUUCAUUAAUCAGUUUUUAAAAAAAAUUUUGUUUAUUACUUAGUAUAGAAUAUAACAACAGAAAAGAAGAGAAUAGACCAGAGUAUAUCAUGUAUAGUAAGAAUAAGUAUUAUUUUGUAAAAUUUUAAUAUACAAAUGGAGAUGAUAGAUAGAGUCACUUAGACAUAAACACACAGACCGGUACACAGACUUAGAGGCUUACAAUGUAAAAUGGAUUUAAGAUAAAAAAUACACCACUGUCCAUCAAUAAAUGAAUGAAUACAAAAAUUAAAAUGUGGUAUAUAUAUACAAUGGAAUACUAUUCAGCUUUAAAAGGGAAGAAAACUCUGUUAUUUGAGACAACAUGCAUGAACCUGGAGGACAUUAUGCUAAGUGAAAUAAGCCAGGCAUUGAAAGACAAAUACUGCAUAAUCUUGCUUAUAUAUGACAUCUCAAAACAUUGAACUUAUAGAAGCAGAGAGUAUAAUGAUGGUUACUAGAGCCUGGUUGGGGAGAGGUGAUGAGGAAAAAGCACAUGGUGGAAGGAUACAAAGCUUUAGUGAGACAGAAGAAAUACUUCUAGUGAUCUAUUGCACAACAUGGUGACUAUAGUUAAUUAUAAUAUAUUGUAUAUUUCAAAAUUGCUAAAAGGCCAGAUUUUAAAUAUUCUCAUUACAAAAAAUAAGUAAAUUAGCUGGAUUUUAUUACUGCACAAUGUAUACAUAUAUCAAAACAUCACAUUGUACCUCAUAAGUAUAUACAAUGAAUAUUUGUCAAUUAAAAAUUAAAUUAAAUUAAAAAUUAACAAAACGUUUAAGGCCAGUGCCCCAAGUGGACAGAUAACAUUUCUAUUAAAAUGUGACUUAUGGUAUUAUUUAUCCAAGUUUUCUUUAAAUAUCCAGUUACUAUUAGGACUUCAGCAAACAUUUUAAGUACCAUGCAAGUUAUCUGAAAAUAGCUCAUAGGAGGAAUGGUGUUUAUUUUCCUUGUUAAAGUAAACACUUACUAUAGCAUCUAUGUUAAAUUUUUGUCCUAUCACCCAGUGACCUAGAUGAAAGUUAUAAAUUUACCUUGCCAUGUGGAAAUGUAGCUACUAAGUCAUCAGAAUAAGAAACGGUCAGCCGGGAAUUCUUCCAGGGAGGAGUUUCUAUUAACUUAUGGUGCUGAUUUCCUAUAUUUACUGAAUCCCUUUCAUCAUUGCUUGGUCUACAGGAAAAUUAAUUAAUACAUGUCAGGCCCAUAUUGGGCACUGGGGAUGCAGCACUGCAAAGGCAUAUGUGGUAUCUGCCAGAUGCAAGUUCUAUAAAUAGAGGCACCAAAUCUGGCCUAGGCAGUGAAAGAGGAAACAGUGGUUAAGCUGACAUCUGAAGGUUGCCAAGUUAAGAGAGAAGUAGUGAGCCCUAAGAUAUUAAUAAGAGAGAGUCAACGAAGCUGAAAGAACCUGAGUAUAAUCGGUGAGCUGCAGGUAGGUUUCUUCAGAUGACAGGAACAUGGCUGUCCUCUACUCACAGCAUGCAUCCUCAUGCCUCUGUGCCAGCAAGGAGAGAGCACUCUUUUCCCAGAUCAAUUGUGAAAAAAUCUCCCCAGGUGCUGUGGUUUGGAUAUGCUUUGUUUGGCCCCAGCAAGUGUCAUGUUGAAUUUUAAUCCCCAGUAUUGGAGGUGCGGCCUAAUGGAAAAUGUUUGCAUCUUGGAGGUGUGUCCCUCGUGAAUAGAUUAGUGCCAUUCACACGGGAGUGAGCUCUCACUCUUAGUUCCCAUAACAACUGAUGGUGGAAAAGAACUGAUGGCACUUCAUCUCUCUCUCUCUCUCUCUCUUCCUCUUCCUGGCCAUGUAAUCUCUGCACAGACCUGCUCCUAUUCACUUCUGUCAUGAGUGGAAGCAAUCUGAGUUGCUUCCCAGAUGCAGAUGCUGGUGCCAUGCUUCCUGUACAGCCUGCAGAGCUGUGAGCCAAAUAAACGUCUUUAAAAAUAAAAAUAAAUUAUCCAGCCUCCAGUAUUCCUUUAUAGCAACACAAAUGGACUGACACACGAUGUAAGAGUUCUGAUUGGGCUGACUUUGGUCAUGUGACAACCUCUAGUUCAAUCAUUGUACAUGAGGUGGCAUACUGUGAUUGGUGGCUGCCACUAGAACCAUAUGCAUUGAAGGAAUUCUUUGGAGAAAAAAAGGAGUUGUUUAUAUUAUAAACCGAAAAACCUGUUUACUGACUAUAAAAAAUGUAAGUGGGAACAUAUUUUGUUUGAGAAUAACAGACAUUAUUUUAAAUGAAAUGUAUCAAUUCCAUCAAAAGCUCCCUUUGAAGUACCACAGUAUACUGACAUCAUCUUUUUGUGUUUGUCUCUUCCACUGAACAGCAAAUUCCCCAAAGAACCAAUUAUAUGUUAUUAAGAUUUGUAUUGAUGGUGCCUAAUUGCUAUGGUUUGAUUGUCCCUGCCAAAAUUGAUGUCGUUGAAAUUUAAUUGCCAUUGUAACAGUGUUGAGUGGUGGGAACUUUGAG
rnacentral:lncRNA from 10 species